GCUUGGCAGUACAUCCAUCCUUCAUGGGCAUUGGAACCUACUUCUUCAGGAUUCCAGCAUAUACAGAAGACCAGGUGGGACAUCCAGCCUUGUGGGACUGAGCAAUUACUGGAUUCUUGGACUUUCCAUUCACAGCUAGCCAUUGUUGGACUGCAGCCUGAGAAGUUAAUAGUUCUCACCGCUCAGUGACAAUGAGGACCGAGAACAGCGUUUGGCGAUUCCCAUUCUCUUUUGUUACAUGACCAGCACCCCCAAGGCUGUGGCUGUGGAGGCUUGCGAUCCAGAUCUGGAACCACCUGGGAGCUUAGUCAUUCACCUGCUCCUGACGCUGUGCUAACUGUCAGCCCGGGGACACCUCUACCGCUGCAGCCCACCUGAGCGUCUGUGCAGCCUGUCUCCAUGUGGCACCGGCUUAUCGUGGUGUCCUUGCACUCUCCAGCAAAUGUCCCCAGAGCAAGACUCACUUGAAACUCUAAGGACUUUGGCUUGAAGGCAUGUUUCCAUCACGGUCUAGUCAUUGUAGCAGUUAAAUCAGUCGCAAGGGGGAGGGAAACAGGUUUGAAAGCUUGUUGAGGAGGCACAGGGGUUCUGCUCCAGCCUUGAAAAAAUAAUAACAUGCCGUAGUGACACAUGAUGGGCACUGACUAUUUGAAAUCGCUUUUUAUCUUCAGAUGAGCUUGUAGUUAAGACUUACACAUCAUUAUAUUUAUAAUUCCAUAUUCAAAUAAUCCCUGUU